GAUGAACGCUGGCGGUAUGCUUAACACAUGCAAGUCGAACGGACUCUUCGGAGUUAGUGGCGGACGGGUGAGUAACGCGUGAGAAUCUGGCUUUGGGUUCGGGACAACCACUGGAAACGGUGGCUAAUACCGGAUGUGCCGAGAGGUAAAAGAGAAAUUGCCUGAAGAUGAGCUCGCGUCUGAUUAGCUAGUUGGUGAGGUAAAGGCUCACCAAGGCAGCGAUCAGUAGCUGGUCUGAGAGGAUGACCAGCCACACUGGGACUGAGACACGGCCCAGACUCCUACGGGAGGCAGCAGUGGGGAAUUUUCCGCAAUGGGCGAAAGCCUGACGGAGCAAUACCGCGUGAGGGAAGAAGGCUCUUGGGUUGUAAACCUCUUUUCUUAGGGAAGAACAAAAUGACGGUACCAAAGGAAUCAGCAUCGGCUAACUCCGUG
rnacentral:rRNA from 1 species